rnacentral:lncRNA from 1 species
CACUCUUGAGUUCAAGUCCAUCAUAUUUAGACCAUGGAGAUACGUGCGCUCUUGUUGUGCUUAGCAAUGGUGGAGUGGAUCAGAAGGGGUGAGGACUCACGCGGGCUGGAUUUGGACUGCAGAAUAGCAUCAACUUGUGACGAUCACCACGACCUCAUACGGACUCGGAUUGGGGUGUUCAAGUACUUCGUGGAAAGCACAUCAAGUCUACUUUCAAACCUAUCUAGCCUCUAGUCCAUAUCUUCUCAGAGUCGCAUACAAUCAAUUGUUUAUUAUAGAGACCUUUUCUGCCCAUGGUGCUGCAUCACCCUAUUUUGGCCCCAUGGAUCUUGUAUCAAGUUCGGUCCAUUAUGGACGUGUACUACAGUUGGAGCAUGAACAUAGGACCCCUCUGGUCAUUCUCCUAGGUAUUAAUAAGUCUUAGAGCCACCACAAAAAGAUUGGAUUUUGUUUGGAUCAAAUUUAGCUUUUGGUACUUGCUUGUAAGUGCGCGUGCUGGAUCAGCCGCCCAUCUUCUUGUCUUCGGAACCCCACCAUAUUGGAGAUUGAGUUUGAAAUCUUCAUUUAAAUCUAGUAAUUUAUUACUUAUUCUACUUGUUCUUACUAGUUCUUUCAUUGCUUGCAGGACGAGUGCACUAGUGGCCAGGGUGUUGCGCUCCACAAGAUCGCGACAACCAUUGCAGGUGGUGUAUCGGUUGCUAAGGCGCAGCGUUCUCUUGGAAAGUUGUAGUCCGAUUGUGAACAUCAUCUUCAUCCACCAAUCAAGUUAUCCCACGUUCUCUCAUUGAAAUAUCCAGAUUCAACCUCACGGGUUCACAUCACUUGGUAUCAGAGCAAGGUUGAUCAGUGACAGACUUCCAAUCCUUCGCUGUUUUUAUUUUCCCAUAGUCUAGAAAAAGCAAAAAAAAUUAGAAGUUUAGUUUGCCCGCAAUCCUAUAGACCCUUUGAGCCUUUACUAGUACUACUUUGUUAGGGCUUGUUGAGUUUUCGGUUGCAUAAGUUGUGUCGAGUUGCUGGUCUUAAUUUUAGUCCCUUAGAGUUUCAAGUUCUUGUCACAUUUUGUCGCAGUUGUGUGCUUCUAUAUUGUCUCUCUUUUGGCCGAAUCGGAGUGCAGCUUGGAGUUCAAGUUUGACGUGGAAUCGGUUAACUGUGUGCUUCCUUGCGCUAGGGUUGGCCGAGACCGAAUCCUAUUCUUGUUGAAGUCCUAGUUUGAAUUGGUUAACAUAUGAGGUCUGAGUUGUUUGCUUUUUUUUUACCGGAAUACCCUUGU